rnacentral:misc_RNA from 1 species
AAGUCGUAACAAGGUUUCCGUAGGUGAACCUGCGGAAGGAUCAUUAACACGUAUCCAAACGUUAAACCCCCCUGUGAACCUUCAGUCGUACUCGUAAUCCCUGGUAAAUCAUCGCCGAACAGUUUUCGAUUCAGGGACGUCUGCAAGGAGCGUGCAUGUUGUGCGUGUAAGUGGCCUGGCAUCCCCAAGCAGUUAGUGUCUGAAAGUGUCACUAACGUUAGUGUCUGAAAGUGUCACUAACAUGUGUAAGGAUGACGCAGUCACGAUCGUUGGAGGCCCACACGGCCGACGACCGGGUCACUGGGUGCAAGCCCCCUUAUCACACCCCUGCUCUAUCUAUGGUGAUCCUGCGGGAAGUCCUGCGGUCGAACGCCGAAACCGAACAACUGUUAACAAUGGAUAUCUUGGUUCUC